UACGGAGGGUGCAAGCGUUAUCCGGAUUCACUGGGUUUAAAGGGUGCGUAGGUGGGUUAGUAAGUCAGUGGUGAAAUCUCCGAGCUUAACUUGGAAACUGCCAUUGAUACUAUCAGUCUUGAAUAUUGUGGAGGUCAGCGGAAUAUGUCAUGUAGCGGUGAAAUGCUUAGAUAUGACAUAGAACACCAAUUGCGAAGGCAGCUGGCUACACAUAUAUUGACACUGAGGCACGAAAGCGUGGGGAGCAAACAGG
rnacentral:rRNA from 1 species